ACACUUCCUGUUGCCUGGAAGCCAAGAUGUAGGACACUCAGCUACCUCUCUAGCACUAUUUCUGCCUACACACCUCCUUGUCCCACCAUGAUGAUAAUGGACUGAACCUCUGAACUAAUGACAGCAAAAGUGUAAUUGGGGCUUAGAAUGUGCCUCACUGAGCUGGGGGUGAAGUUCAGUAAAAGAGCAUUCCUCCAGCAUGAAGGAGGCCUGGGGUUGUACACAAGCAAUGAAAGAAGAAAGACUGCUCUGUGGUGGAGAGGAGAGCCUUGUGCUUGUGUGAGCAUGGACGAUCGAGCUUCCUGGGUGAGUCCAUUCACCUUAUUCGGGUAGAGGGAAAGGAGAGUGUGGAGACUUCAAAGGACUCUUUGAGAUGGAAGCUUCAUUACUAAUCAAAAGUUCUUCAGUAUUGGAAUCCAGAGAGGAAGGAACAAAAUAUCUCUCCCUUUGGAUGAACAUGGUGAUAAUGAAGAAGGCAUUCCGGGAAGGCUGGCUAUACCACUGCUCAUUUAUCUAUCUGAGGGAGAACCUGUGGAAAAGAAGGGUCUUCUCUUUCCUGGGGUUUAGCUGGAGAGAGAUGGCCUGUGGGUUAUCAGCCUAGCUCUGCUGUUCUUCACUGGACAAGAGGAAAGAGAGGUCUCUGCACUUGCUCCAAGCCCCAUUCCUAAAGAACUCCUGCCACAUGAAGCUACUGAAGUCACUGUGCCAACAGAGUGAGAACAGAUUGAGAAUGUACUGACUGCGUGUCCUAGGAAUGCUGGAGCUGCUGUUUGGUGUAUCUACUGGCUUGUUGCCACCUAAAUUUGUGUACCACAAUGAGGAUGUGUAGUCUGCUAACAGCAGCAGGAAGAUUUGUGAAGAUUUACAUUUGUAAGCAUAAUGGAUGCAACAUUAAAGUUUUAGUACUUGGAGUAAA